rnacentral:rRNA from 1 species
GAUGAACGCUGGCGGCGUGCCUAAUACAUGCAAGUCGAGCGAACAGACGAGGAGCUUGCUCCUCUGACGUUAGCGGCGGGCGGGUGAGUAACACGUGGAUCACCUCCCUAUCAGACUGGGAUAACUUCGGGAAACCGGAGCUAAUACCGGAUAAUAUAUUGAACCGCAUGGUUCGAUAGUGAGAGACGGUUUUGCUGUCACUUAUAGAUGGAUCCGCGCCGCAUUAGCUAGUUGGUAAGGUAACGGCUUACCAAGGCAACGAUGCGUAGCCGACCUGAGAGGGUGAUCGGCCACACUGGAACUGAGACACGGUCCAGACUCCUACGGGAGGCAGCAGUAGGGAAUCUUCCGCAAUGGGCGAAAGCCUGACGGAGCAACGCCGCGUGAGUGAUGAAGGUCUGCGGAUCGUAAAACUCUGUUAUUAGGGAAGAACAAAUGUGUAAGUAACUAUGCACGUCUUGACGGUACCUAAUCAGAAAGCCACGGCUAACUACGUG